UGUGCAUAUUUACAAUGAGUGGAAUUGAGUUAGUUUAUCUAUUAUCUACGUUAGAACGUAGAACAUAGAACGUAGAUAAACUAACUAAAUUCCACUCAUUUAAAUAUGAAC